ensembl:lncRNA
CCUGUCUCUGCUGAAGGAUGUCCCACAUGAGAAUGACCUAGAGUCGUUACCAGUGAUAAGGUGACAGCGUGGAUGGUACACGUGCGGGUCACCACUUAAAGAACGCUCGCCGUUUGGCAGUACAAUGAAGACCAGAAGAGUAGCGAAUGGCCUCCUCUGAGGCAGAGACCUUCAGACAUGCCACUCCACCGACACAAUGACAUGAAACUGAGUGAAACUUUCACAUUAUUCUGACAAAGAGAUUGUUUAAAUCUCAGUUAUUAUAUGCCG